AAUACAUGACGCUGUUGACUUUUUAUCCAACGUUUGACCAUUCGUCUUAUUCAAAAAAUUUAUACAAUUAUCAUUUAUUUUAUUGUGGCUCGAUUCAUCAUCAAAUGUUCUUUAGUAUGAUAUAAAUACUUUCAUAUUUGCACGAAAAUUUUAAAUAAAACGAAUGGUCAAACGUUGGUCGAAAAAUCAACGGCGUCAUACAUU
rfam:Oryza barthii chromosome 12, whole genome shotgun sequence.